GUGUGUCCUGGCCGUUUGAGGCUCUGGCCGAUUUCUUUUCCCAAGUCCCCAUGGAGAAUCAGGGACCGUCCUGUGCCAUCUUCCGAGAGCCUGGAAGGGUCCGCCCGUGGGCUUUCCGAGCGCCGAAGGGGCCACAUGCUGCUCUGAGGGUGCCGCAGAGAUGCUGUCUCACCAUGUUGGCCCCGGAUAGUCUUGGACUCCUGGGUUCCAGGUAUCCUCCGUGGCCUCCAAAAGUGCUGGGAUUACAGGUCCUGCCUACAGAAGAUCUUGUGACAUAUCCCUGCACCCAUCACACAGGAUAUUGUGACAUUGCUGAGCCCAGCAUCUAGGUGAUGUGACUCUUCUCUACUGUUUGGUCUCUACCCAAAAAGGGAUUGUGACAUAUCACUCUGUCAAGAACCUAGAAGAGGUGACUCUCCUCUCCAGCCUGGGACCUCCAUACAGAGGGGAUUGUAGCAUAUUCCUAAUGGAGCACCAAGGUGAUGUGACACUGCUGCCUGGUCCCUGCCCUCAGAGAAGAUUGUGACAUAUCACUGCCCCGAAACCCAGGUGUGAUUGUUACAUACACCUCUGCCCAGCACCUGAGUGAUUUGACUCUUCUGCUUGGGCCCAGCGUACAGAUGGGAUUGUGCCGCAUUGCUGGACCCAGCACUUAGGUGAUGUGAUAUAAUUCUCCUCUUCUGCCUGGCCCUGCCAAAAAGUGGGAGAUUAUGGCAAAUCACUGAACCCAGCACCUAGGGACCUUGUGACAUAUAUCUGCACCCAUGACCUAGAAGAUGUGACAUUUAUUUUUUGCCUGCACCCUGCCCUGCACAGGAAUGAUUGUGACAUAUCCUUGGAACCAGACACCAGAAUUGUAACAUAUCCCUGGCUGAGCACUCAGGUGAUGUGACACUCCUGCUUGGCUUCUUCCCUCAGCAGAUUAUGAGAUAUCCAUGGCUGAAAUCCAGGGGGAAUUGUGACAUAUCACUUGGCCCAGUACCAAGCAAGUGUGACUGUUCUAUUCAUCAUAAGUCCUGCUUUCAAGGGAGAUUGGGACAUAUUGUGGGGCUCAACACCAAUGUGACAUUACUGUUUUGCCUUGGCCCAGACCUUAAAGGCACUGUGACGUAUUGCUCGGCUCAGCAACAAGGUGACGAGAGAUCCUGUGUGGACAUUGACAACAGAGAGCAUUGUGACAUAUCUUUGGGAGCAUCAGCUAUUUGAUGUGACUCUCCUUUUAUACCAAGGCUUUGCUCAUAGGGGAGACCGUGAUGUAUCUUCUGGCCCAGAAAUCAGGCGAUGUGUUUCUCCUGCCUGAGCUUUGCUCACAGGGAGCAUUGUGACAUAUCACUGAGCCCAGCACCCAGGUGAUGGGACUCUACUGCCUGUCCCCUGCUUUCAGGAGGAAAUUGUAACAUAUCUCUGACCAAGCACCCAGGUGAUAAGUCUUCUGCCUGGUGCCUGUUCUCAGGGAAGAUUGUGACAUAUCCCUGGCCCAGCAACCAGAUGAUGCAGAUGACGUAUCUCUCCUGCUCACUCUCUAUCCACAGGUUCUGCCCACAAAGGAGAUUGUGGCAUACUGCUGGGCCUAACACUAAGGUGAUGUUACUUCUCUGCUUUGGCUAUGUCCUUAGAAGGCAUUGAGACACACUGCUGGGCCCAGCACCAAGAUGAUGUGAGUCCUCUGCCUGAACCCUGACCACAGGGAGCAUUGUGACAUAUUUCUUGACCCACUGCAAUCUCUCCUAUGGACAAAGCCCAGGUGUUAUGACUCUCGUCUUUUCACUGGAACCUGCCAAAAAGGGUGAUUGUGACAUAUCACUGGACCCAGCACCUUGGUGAUGUGACUCUCCUCUCCUCCUUAGGCCCUGCUUACAUUGUGUCUGUUGAAAUACGGCUGGUCCAACACCUAGGUAAUGUGACUCUCCUGCAUAGGCCUUGCUAAUAGGGGAUGUAUGACAUAUGUUUUGUUUAUCACUUAAGUGAUGUUACUCUCCUUUUCUUCCUGAAUCCUGUAAAAGGUGGGGGAUUGUGACCCUAUCACUGGACCCAGCACAUAAGUAAUAUGAGUUUCCUGCAUAGGCUCUGUUCAGAAGGGUAUUAUGACAUAUCUUUUUGUUCAUCACUUUGUGACUUGUCUUUUGACUGGAACCUGCCAAAAAGGGUGAUUGUGACAUAUUGCUGGACCCAGCACCUAGGUGAUGUGGCUCUCCUUUUUUUCUGGGCCUCACAUAUUUUGGGUAUUGUGAUGUAUAGCUGGGCUCAACACCUAGCAGUUGGGGAGCUCCUUUCUUGACCAUUCCCACAAAUGACAUAUCUCUGCUAUGACCGCCUAUGACACAUGACCUAAAUAUGUGACCCUUCUUUUCUGCCUGUACCCUGCUAACAGAGAAGAUUGUGACAAAUUGCUAAGUGCAUUGUAUCUUGUGCUAACCUUCUAUCUCAGCCUGUGACCAAGAAUGCCUAACUGCCGGGGAAUGCAGCCCUGUAGGUCUCAACCUCAAUUUGCCCAGCCACUAUUCAAAAUAGAGUCACUCUGGUUUAAAUGCCUCUGACAUUAAGAUACACUGUAAAAUUAUGAAAAAAGUUGAUUUGAAUUUUAGCAAAUGAGAAAUGAAAUAAUUAGAAUGGGCUAUUCUGAAAGAUAUAGCAUUAGUUAUAUUUGUGUUUGAGUUUUCUAUUAACCUAUAUUUGUUACUUAUGAAUAGAUACCUUGUUUUAUUCUGUCUAAACAGAUACACUAGGUGGGGUGCGGUGGCCAUGCCUGUAAUCCCAGCACUUUGGGAGGCCGAGGGGAGUGGAUCACCUGAGGUCAGGAAUUUGGGACAAGCCUGACCAACAUGGCAAAACCCUGUCUCUACUAAAAAUACAAAAAUCAGCUGACCAUGGUGGCGGGUGCCUGUAAUCCCAGCUACUUCAGAGGCUGAGGCAGGAGAAUUGCUUGAACCCGAGAGGUGGAGGUUGCAGUGAGCCAAGAUCAUGCCACUGCAUUCCACCCUGGGUGACAGAGCGAGACUCUGUCUCAAAAAAUAAGAAAAAAUAAGCGGCCGGGCAUGCUGGCUCACGCCUGUAAUCCCAACACUUUGGGAGGCCGAGGAGGGUGGAUCGCAAGGUCAGGAGUUCAAGACCAGCCUGGCCAAGAUGGUGAAACCCUGUCUCUACUAAAAAUACAAAAAUUAGCCACGUGUGUUGGCAGGUGCCUGUAAUCCCAGCUACUCGGGAGGCUGAGGCAGAGAAUUGCUUGAACCCAGGAGGCAGAGUUUGCAGUGAGCCGAGAUCUCACCAUUGCACUCCAGCCUGGGUGACAGAGGGAGAUUCUGUCUCAAAAAAAAAAAAAGGACAUAAAUUUAAUGUUAAGUGUGGACUCAUAAAGAAUCUAGACAGCCACCAAGCCAUUUGUUUAUUCUUGAUUUCUUAAAGCUUCCAUUAUUAAAAGCUCUGCAUUCCAUUACUCAUCACAGAAAAUAAUCUAAAUUAAAUAUGAAUUAAGUUUGUGUGUGUGUGUGUGUGUGUGUGUGUGUGUGUGUGUGUGUGUGGUGAUUAUUCUAAAUUACUAAACAGAUUAAGGCCAAUUUUUUUAUGUCAAACAUAUAAUUCUGAGAAACAAUCAAUACUUUAUGUACAUUUCUGUUACCUAAUAGGCUAUUUAAGCAUUUAUACAGAAAUUUUAUACAGUUGUCAUUUUUAAUGCAUGUUUUCUGAUAGUAUAAAAGCUUUCUCAUGCAAGAAGGCUGAUGUUAUAAUAGUAGCUAAAAGAAUAUUAGAAAAUAUGUUUUUUUU
rnacentral:lncRNA from 1 species